CCCUGCCCUGGCUUGAUGUGGUCACGAGGCGGCUCAUAGAAUGGCUGGUUCCUGAUCUGGUCCAAAAUCACCGACCUAUCCGUGUUCAGCUUGGUGUAAACCUUAUUCACCUUCGAGGCGGACGCAGGCGGACGACUACUCUUCUGUCGCCAUGAGUUAUUGAACUUCUUCGAACUGCCCUCUGGCCGAUCAUUAUAUC
rnacentral:lncRNA from 1 species